rnacentral:rRNA from 1 species
AAUGUAUGGCGCCGUCGAUCCUGGCCCGUCCUCUAGUAGGACGAGAGCCGGUGCAUCACGGGUCAUCCUUGUGGAGAGCGUCUCUGCCCUUGAUUGGGUCGGUUGCGCGAUUCACAUCGUUUACUGUGAACAAAUCAGAGUGUUCAAAGCAGGCAUUUGCGGCUUGCAUGGUUCAGCAUGGAAUAAUGAGAUAAGGCUCUGGUCUUAUUUUGUUGGCUUAAGGACCAGAGUAAUGAUGGAAAGGGAUAGUUGGGGGUGCUAGUAUUCAAUGGUCAGCGGUGAAAUGUGUGGACCCAUUGAAGACUAACUUAUGCGAAAGCAUU